UAUGAACUUUGCAAAUUUUUCAAACAAAUUUGUGUUGCGCCAAGCUAUUACCAUUAUGUUAUGAUCGUUAUAGGCUUAUUUCCGUUACCCUUGACCGUGAUCUCGAACGCGGCCAUGACCAGAUUUAAAACUAUGGUAGUGGGUUCUGUUGAGGAUUUCUUAAAAGAGAGGCAGCAUAUCAGUAAUUUGUUGAAAGAAAAUUUAAAGAAUGCUCAGCACAUAAUAAAGCAACAGGCUGAUAAACAUAAAGUUGAAAGGGAAUUUGAAGUUAGGGAUUCGGUAUAUUUGAGACUCUAGCCCUAUAGAUAGACAUCCCUAACUCUGAGACACAACUUGAAACUUG
rnacentral:misc_RNA from 1 species